AUUGAACGCUGGCGGCAGGCCUAACACAUGCAAGUCGAACGAGUGGCGGACGGGUGAGUAAUGUCUGGGAAACUGCCUGAUGGAGGGGGGUAACUACUGGAAACGGUAGCUAAUACCGCAUACCCUCAGAUGUGCCCAGAUGGGAGUAGCUGGUGGGUGGGGUAACGGCUCACCUAGGCGACGAUCCCUAGCUGGUCUGAGAGGAUGACCAGCCACACUGGAACGGAGACACGGUCAAGACUCCUACGGGAGGCAGCAGUGGGGAAUGUUGGACAAUGGGCGAAAGCCUGAUGCAGCCAUGCCGCGUGUAUGAAGAAGGCCUUCGGGUUGUAAAGUACGUUCAGCGGGGAGGCGUUACCCGCAGAAGAAGCACCGGCUAACUCCGUGCCAGCAGCCGCGGUAAUAC
rnacentral:rRNA from 1 species